AUAUUGUCUCAAAGAUUAAGCCAUGCAUGUCUAAGUAUAAGCACUUUAUACUGUGAAACUGCGAAUGGCUCAUUAAAUCAGUUAUCGUUUAUUUGAUAGUACCUUACUACAUGGAUACCUGUGGUAAUUCUAGAGCUAAUACAUGCUACAAACCCCGACUUCAGGAAGGGGUGUAUUUAUUAGAUAAAAAACCAACGCCCUUCGGGGCUCCUUGGUGAAUCAUAAUAACUUAACGAAUCGCAUGGCCUUGCGCCGGCGAUGGUUCAUUCAAAUUUCUGCCCUAUCAACUUUCGAUGGUAGGAUAGUGGCCUACCAUGGUGGCAACGGGUAACGGGGAAUUAGGGUUCGAUUCCGGAGAGGGAGCCUGAGAAACGGCUACCACAUCCAAGGAAGGCAGCAGGCGCGCAAAUUACCCAAUCCCGAUACGGGGAGGUAGUGACAAUAAAUACUGAUACGGGGCUCUUUCGGGUCUCGUAAUUGGAAUGAGAACAAUUUAAAUCCCUUAACGAGGAACAAUUGGAGGGCAAGUCUGGUGCCAGCAGCCGCGGUAAUUCCAGCUCCAAUAGCGUAUAUUAAAGUUGUUGCAGUUAAAAAGCUCGUAGUUGAACCUUGGGCCUGGCUGGCCGGUCCGCCUCACCGCGAGUACUGGUCCGGCUGGGCCUUUCCUUCUGGGGAACCUCAUGGCCUUCACUGGCUGUGGGGGGAACCAGGACUUUUACUGUGAAAAAAUUANAGUGUUCAAAGCAGGNCUUUGCUCGAAUACAUUAGCAUGGGAAUAAUAGAAUAAGGACGUGCGGNUCUAUUUUGUUG
rnacentral:rRNA from 1 species